GUUCCCUAGGGCCAAGAGUCGACACCACUAUAGUUUCUUUUGUUCUUAAUUUUGUAAUGGAAAGCUAGUUCUCUCCGCUGGGCUAAGGAGGAAGCCAAUAAAUCGUCUGAAGGCCAAGCUAGGAUUAGGGAAACUUCCUCAAACUACUCUGCCAAUGUUAAACAAGGACCAAGAAAUGAAGGUAACUCCUCUGCAGAUUCUGGACAGCAGGCAAGUAAAAAAUGGCAACCAUAAUAUCAACCAAGUGUUGGUGCAGUGGGAGAACCUAUCAACUCAGGAUGCCACAUGGUAUGACAAAGAAUUCAUGGAAUACCAAUUUCCAAAGCUAAUCCUUGAGGUCAAGGAUUUGAAAGAGUAUAGGGUAUUAUCAGGACCCAAGUUUAAUUAUGCUUUUAAGUAUGUUUAAUUAUGCUUUUAUUAGUUUAGAAAGAGUUUUUAAGGGUUGUCCACUUGCUAUAGGCACCCAUUAGGUCUUUUGAAUUGUACAGACCAUUUCAGUACUCGUGCGAGUCACACGAGCGGGGUUGUGUGUGUGUCCUUCUUAUCCUGGUCUGUGCUGUAGAAUAUGGUUAUGAAAAAGUAAAUAUGAAAAUUCUUCUCUCUCAA